CACGUAGGGUGCGAGCGUUGUCCGGAAUUAUUGGGCGUAAAGAGCUCGUAGGCGGUGUGUCGCGUCGGCCGUGAAAACCUGCAGCUUAACUGUGGGCUUGCGGUCGAUACGGGCAUCACUGGAGUUCGGCAGGGGAGACUGGAAUUCCUGGUGUAGCGGUGAAAUGCGCAGAUAUCAGGAGGAACACCGGUGGCGAAGGCGGGUCUCUGGACCGAUACUGACGCUGAGACGCGAAAGCGUGGGGAGCGAACAGG
rnacentral:rRNA from 1 species